rnacentral:rRNA from 1 species
GGUACGUGAGCUGGGUUUAGACCGUCGUGAGACAGGUCGGUCCCUAUCUGGUGUGGGCGUAGGAUGAUUGAGGAGACUCUUUCCUAGUACGAGAGGAUUGGAAAGAACGUACCUCUGGUGUGCCAGUUGUCGCGCUAGCGGCAUCGCUGGGUAGCUAAGUACGGACCGGAUAAGCGCUGAAAGCAUCUAAGCGCGAAACCCACUACAAGAUGAGGUUUCUUUAAAGGGACGUUAUAGAUGAUGACGUUGAUAGGCUGCAGGUAUAUAGGUAGUAAUAUCAGAG